UGGUUACAGAUUCCAUACAAGAUUGCUGACCGAAGACCAGGUGACCUUGCUUCCUUCUACAGUGACCCGUCGCUGGCUCUACGCGAACUCGGCUGGAAGGCUACUCGUGGCCUGCAGGAGAUGUGUGAAGACCUGUGGAGAUGGCAGUCUAUGAACUGUAAUGGGUUCCGAGUGCUGAAAUAGAGACAUGACUGGAGUCGACACCGACACUGCUGUCAUGUAGCUGGUCACUCCAACAUGCUCCAUGUGCCAAAUUGUUGACUUACAAUUCACUUUGUCAUCAACACAGCAAUGUACACUCUAGCCUGUGUAUGUGCGUGUGAGCACACCAGAUGAUGUAACAUAUUUAUAAAUUACCUUUGCUUGACACCUCUAUUUAUGUGCUGGGGUGUUGUUAAACAUUCAUUCAUAUUCAUAUAUAAACUAACUUACUCUCAACUGUAACACCUUGAUUCCUGUCAACAAUGGUCACUCACAGGACCUUCAAUCUAUGCACACUAAAUAAAGCAUCUGUCACUGUUAAAGCUACCACUAAACUUGAAACUAAGGCUUACAGACAUAUUCUUGCUUCUUGUAAGUGUUGGUGUUGUAAAGAACAUUCCUGUAGUUCGCUUUCCAUGCCUCAUCUCACUGACUCUUGCACAGAUUCUAAUUGAGUGGGUGCUUUACUUGUUGUGCCAAUUGUCGCCGGUUAGGCUUUUCUUUGUCUAUGCAUUGUUUUUAUUAUAUAAAUAUUUUCCAAAAUGGCUGAUCAUAGCAAUAAAAAUGCUGUAAUUUGAUUUCACUCUAAAUGCAUGUUCUGACAAUACAAAUAUGGUUCUAACUUCAUUAAUACACAUCAAAACCAAAAACACAGCCUUGUGUUUGAUGCACAACAUAAAACUGGUUUAAUCUAUAAUUAUACGGCUGCCACAGGAAUAAAAACAACAUUUACAAAUAUGUUUGUUAGCCAAUUACA